UAGGGAAUCUUCCACAAUGGACGCAAGUCUGAUGGAGCAACGCCGCGUGAGUGAAGAAGGUUUCGGACCGUAAAGCUCUGUUGUUGGUGAAGAAGGAUAGAGGUAGUAACUGGCCUUUAUUUGACGGUAAUCAACCAGAAAGUCACGGCUAACUACGUGCCAGCAGCCGCGGUAAUACGUAGGUGGCAAGCGUUGUCCGGAUUUAUUGGGCGUAAAGCGAGCGCAGGCGGAAGAAUAAGUCUGAUGUGAAAGCCCUCGGCUUAACCGAGGAAUUGCAUCGGAAACUGUUUUCUUGAGUGCAGAAGAGGAGAGUAGAACUCCAUGUGUAGCGGUGGAAUGCGUAGAUAUAUGGAAGAAUACCAGUGGCGAAGGCGGCUCUCUGGUCUGCAACUGACGCUGAGGCUCGAAAGCAUGGGUAGCGAACAGGAUUAGAUACCCUGGUAGUCCAUGCC
rnacentral:rRNA from 1 species